UACGUAGGGUGCGAGCGUUAAUCGGAAUUACUGGGCGUAAAGCGUGCGCAGGCGGGCUUUUAAGCCAGACGUGAAAUCCCCGGGCUUAACCUGGGAAUGGCGUUUGGGACUGGAAGUCUGGAGUGCGGCAGAGGAGACUGGAAUUCCUGGUGUAGCAGUGAAAUGCGUAGAUAUCAGGAGGAACACCCGUAGCGAAGGCGGCACUCUGGGCCGAUACUGGCACUGAGGAGCGAAAGCGUGGGGAGCGAACAGG
rnacentral:rRNA from 1 species